UGGAGACAGUGGAGACUGUUGACAUUUCCUUGUUGUUUACGACCGUGGCCGUGCUUGGUGCUACAGGAGUGGGCCUACUGAUGAUUCUUCUCUGCUACAUCUGUUUCACAACCAGGAAAAGCACGAAAGCUGAAGUGUACAGUCCUACAGAUCCACCCGGCCAGACGACUCUAUAGCAAUAUAAUAUAGUUAUAAAUGUCACUUUCGCGUUACGGCGUAUCCCAAAUCCACAAAAGAAGUUGUAGAAAAGUCAUUUGAAUGCGAUAUUUUGAAUGUCACAAAAGGCCCGAUUCUUUCUGGGGAACUUUCAGAUGAUUCUAGAACGGUCUUCACAAGGGACAUUACCAAAUGAUUAUUCUCGUCAAAUUGCAAGCACAAGAGAAUUCAUCCAAGCAUUGAGAGUAGGGUGUCGUACGGAAUGUGCACUCAGAAAAUAAGCAGCGAAACAUCUAAGGAUUUGGAGGAAUAGUGUCACAAUAAAUGAAUGAAAUAUGGGAAGACGUAAUCAUUUGGAAUAAGGAAUGUUUGUACAUCAUAGACAGAUGGGUUACGCUAGUUUGAAUUGUCAGAGCGCACUGGACAGCAGUAUUAUUUCAUGAAAAGAGAAAACUAUUUGAAACAAGAAUUUAGUACCAUUUGUGAAUGAUAUUUAUUGCAAAUAGUUCUGUGUAAACGGCAGUACCAUCGAUCGCCUAAAGUACUAUCUGAUGCUGGUAGUAAUUAUUGUGUUAGCAGAACAAACUACACGGUACAUGAACCAUUCUACGCUGAGGCUUACGAUCGUCUGUUAUCAUCCAACGUCAUUUCGUUUCUAGUUAAGUUUACAAAGUGAUGUUAUCAAUGAUCUAUGCUCUUCGCUCCAAUUCCGUUCUCUUAUACCCAAGUUGUGAAUAAAAUUAUUCAUGGCAAGAUGACGUGAUAAAGGGCAAAGCCAAAGAAAAGUUAAUUAUUCUUUGGGUGAUUUUGGAGUGAUUUAUUCCACAGUACUUCAUAGAUCGAACAAUACUGGUUCAUCGCUAAAGUACAUGUACAUUUGUAUCUACAUUUGGUCAUGCAAACGUUUCACUCCCUCGCCUUCAUCUUUGUCUCGUGUGCUCUUGAUCUGCUGCAGUAUUACUUCAAUCUGUGUCUGGCAAACGUUUGAUAGAUCAGUCUUAACUCCCGCCUUCGCCUUUGUCAGGUAAACUUUCCAUAGAUCAGUAUUAAGAAAGCGCUUGAUAAAACAAAUCAGUGUUAAAUCGGUGUUUCUUUAGGGGAUACAUUUACUAGAAACACGAGUAUACACAUGCUCAAGUGUCCAAGUGAAACUUAAAACCAGUGUUCGGUGAAAGCAGAAAUCAGGAAAAAAUUAAACGUAUUUUGUUUCUGAUUCUGCAAUCAAAAGCAAAUUGAAUAAAAACUGGAUGUCAAUUUACCAAGUAACAGGCCGUAACUGUCCAUAACACCCAUCCUACUUAAUAUAAUGUUUGCUUUUUAACUAUGGCCACACUUUUGUUCUGAAAAAUUGGGUGCGCCUGUUUUGUUACAGAUAACAUAUAUGAGUUUUGUUCUCACUUAAAACAUGCGAUAUAGAUAUUUGCCUGAAAGCUAAAUAUAAAAAAAA